rnacentral:rRNA from 1 species
UACGUAGGGAGCAAGCGUUGUCCGGAAUCAUUGGGCGUAAAGCGCGCGUAGGUGGCUUCGUAAGUCCGUUGUGAAAGUCAAAGGCUCAACCUUUGAAAGCCGAUGGAUACUGCGGAGCUAGAGUACGGAAGAGGCGAGUGGAAUUCCUGGUGUAGCGGUGGAAUGCGCAGAUAUCAGGAGGAACACCGGUGGCGAAGGCGGCCAUCUGGACGACAACUGACGCUGAGAUGCGAAAGCGUGGGGAGCAAACAGG